rnacentral:lncRNA from 1 species
CUGUGGCCCUGGCUACAGCAGCACAGCGUGUAAUCUGGAUGUCACGUCAGGUGAACGAUCUUAUCUGGCCUGAAGUCCUAUGGCGGCAAUGCACGACCGCAUUGGGGAGGCUGAGGUUCAGGGCAAGAGCCUUUAUGGAAAGGGCAGUAACAGGCACAAGAAGGACCCAGUGAAGGAGGGAUUGGAUCCAGUUCAUCUGAAUGCUGUAAUUGGGCUGCGCAAGUGGACCCACACACACAGUGGCUAUACACGCACCUGGUCAUUCACAAACAUAUGCACACACUAGCAGGUCGUUCGGGAAUUUUGCCAUGCGCCAUUCCUCUUCCCGUUAAGGCACUCCGCACGUCUGACCACCAGGGGACACACUCUCGCUACCUUCGUGUGCACAGCCAUAAAUAAUGGCGGCACCAUGCAUCUGACAUUGGUUGAAGUUCAGCAUCUGUUCGUUCACGUUCCACCGAAUGAUAUAGAAAGUUAGUAUUGUUCUGCUAGUGUGCUACAAUGCUAUGCUAAAUUUUCAUCUUGUUUCUUGCAGGUUACAUCCUCCAGCAAGUUCAGGACGACAAAUGUGCAGCUCAAAAGCAGCCUGUCCUCCAUG